CCCCCAGUAACUGAAUUAAAUGACUGGAAAAGGGCAAUCAAGGUGGCUGUCACAUGCCAGUGCAUGGAAGUUAGCAUAACAUCUGCUUUGCCGGCUGUUUCAGAACUCACUGGCAAUCUUUGCUGAGCGUGCUCUUCCCGGGUUGGAAGCUAUGGGCUUGGCCGUGCCUGAGAACCUGAGCAGACCCCAGACGAGCAUGCUAAAGGGCUCCUCACGAUCCUCAGUUUGCUGUCUGCAGAAGGGCUCGCCCCGGGCUGUGUUGGGGUACUUAAUUCACUUUUCGUCUUGUGCGUGAAAACGGCUCCAAGAGAUUCUCCUCCUGCGGCAAGAGAUCUGGAAAGGUCUGAAAGUUUUCAGAGACUCAGCAGUGAAGGUCAUAAGAGGGACUGGAGUUUUGGCCCAUGCAUCUGCUCACUGAAACUCGGUCAUCUCAUAUCGAGGACAACAAACCAGCACCAGUCUGCAAGAGCACGAAGAGGGCAUAUAUUUUGAAAACAAACGGAUGACAGAUGUGAAGGCUAGAAAGCACCACCGUGAGCCCCUGCUUGGAGCGUCUUCCUGAAGCCUUCUCACGUUUGCCGUUACGGGGACGCUCCUCAACGUUGCUGGCGUUCCCAGCAGCUCCGCACAGCCUCCUCAGCAUGUAUGUCCAGAGCUAUGGGGGACAUGUUAUUUCUGCUUCUCACAUGAGGGUGUUUGUGUCAGCCUGCUUCAUUUAGAACAAACAGGGUGGAGAGAGCUUUUGAGGGAAUUGGGAGUUCCCCUGAUGCCUUUGACCAAGCUGCUUCGUGCUUGGGCAGAGGAGGAGGAGGAGGAGGAUGUCUGAGGCUGGGGGAAAAGAGGAAGGGCAACUGCAGGUGCCAGAAGUAACUGGAAAGCCGUAGGAGACACUUGGAGUCAACAUGCAGCUAUUAAAGAGAAAAAAUAGAAUUAGAUGAGAACCAUGGGGGGAAAGCUAUGUUUCUUCUGAACCACUGGUAACAAAGAGUUCAGACCAUGGUUAAAAAUAAAUACAUAAAUAAAUUAAGCUGCA
ensembl:lncRNA